GUGCUCGUUUUGGCAGCACAUAUACUAAAACUGGAACAAUACAGAGAAGAUUGGCAUGGCCCCUGCAAGAGGAUGACAUGCAAAUUUGUGACAUGUUCCAUAUUUUU
ensembl:snRNA U6 U6 spliceosomal RNA